GCCCGAGUGGCGGAAUGGUAGACGCAAAGGACUUAAAAUCCUUCGACCGCAAGGUCGUGCCGGUUCGAGUCCGGCCUCGGGCACCA
rnacentral:tRNA from 1 species